UUGUGGAGAGAGAGAGAGAGAGAGAGAGAGAGAGAGAGCGAGCGAGCGCACAAGCGCCCCGCAUGAGCUCUCUGUCAUCUCUCUCUCUCUCUCUCUCUUUUUUUUUUUUUUU
rnacentral:miRNA from 1 species